rnacentral:lncRNA from 1 species
UAUUAUUUUCGUUUCAGUCCUUAAAAUUGCAGCGAAAUGGUGCCAUUUUUUUUCCUUCAGUUUUUCAUCUUUUCUUCUUAGUCUCACUGCCAAUUUUUUUUAGUAUUGGCAGUUACAUGUGUUGUAUGACCUCUCUUCUUGCGGCUUGCUGAGAAUGCCCUUGGAAAUUUGCCUAAAUUGGCUUUUCUAUAAGAUUCUAUAUGCAGUGUUUUAAUUUAGAUAUAAUUUGCAUCUGAUCUGCUGUUGUCGCUACAUGUGAGCUUGUGGUGGUGAUUGGGGUUAUGUGUUAGCUCUAGCGAUGCUGACAUCAUGUAUAUUUAACUUUUCAUUUAUGUAUAUCAAGGUAUCAUGAUAUCAUAACAAAAUAAAAAGAAUUAUUACUACAUCUUAAUAUGGUGGAUCUUAUGUUUCUUGAUGUUGGAUUACGCCUCACUAUCUCUAUUAGGUAUGUUAUAAAUGUUUCAUCUGUGUAUUUCUAGGUAGAACCCUAAAAAUAUAAAAUGAGAGGGAAAACAGAGAAAGAAAAGUUCUACGAUAGAGAAGGGGCAGUUUGUAGAAAUUUUGGCUUUGAAUGUGCUUUCGUAUCAGACUAACACAAUAGGUAUUUUUUUCCUCAGAGGACACUCUCGGAAGUGAUGAUCUUGAUAGGGUAUCCAUUUGUCAGUACAAAUUGUAUAUAAAGAUCUUAAAGUAGCUAAGAUUUGGUACUAUUUUAUGCAUAUAAUUCUCUUCUGCAAUAAGCAAUUUCCCGAUUAAAACCAGACAUGGAUAGAGGAGGACAUAAGUCAUGCUUCUUCAGCCUUCGACAAAGUUCGCAGUUGUCUGAUAAUAUUACUUCUUAUAAAACGCAUUAGCUCAUUGCGAAAUAGAUGUUUUGUAAAGGUGGGCUAUCUGUGUGACCCGUGAGAUGCAUAGUUUAAUUAAAGGUAAAAUAGAUCAAGAUAAGCUUUUUGAAAUGACUGUAACUUAUGUAAUGAGAAGUACUACCUAUUGUUAUCAAAUAUUACCUAACACAAACAUUAGUUAAAGAUCUCUACCAAGAUUUCUGCUAUUUAGUACUAACAUAACCAUUACAAAAGUGGUGUUAAGGGUUAUUCCUUGUUAAAUAUGCUAUUUGAAUAAAACGAACUAAAGUUUUGACAAGUCAAAGUAUGUUGCCUAAACUAAAAAUAGUAUUUUGACAUAUCAUAGUAGUUUGAUUUCAUAAGACCGGGAGAUGUUUUUAAUAUCCCAACUCCAGAGCCGGAUUUAUCAUCGCGCUAUAUAGUAUAUACAUAUUGUACGAAAUGUUAGAGUUUAGCUCAUGUCUCCUGUGUAAUUUUUCAAUUGUAUAUAUGCUGACUGAAUUUUUUAUGUACUCCUUUGAUUUUAUAUGAGCUAUAACAUAAAACUACCACAACCUAUUUAAUAUGAUAAGCUUGGCUCAAUAUCCAUGAAAAGUACUCUUCCUCCUUCAGGCGAAAAAAUGGAAGUAACACAAUUGAUUCUACAGGCAUGGCUUGGCAGAGAUGAAAGGAAUUGAUUAGCGUUGUAGUUGACAAUUAACUAUCGCAGUCAAUCCUCAUAAAUAUGUCUCAUCAGUUUCUCUUCAUCUGAUACUUCACAAUUUUUGCUUUCUUUAUGCUAGCCUCUUCAAGUUGCUUUGUUGCUUUCCCUGACAACAUGGAUGAACAUGACUCGCUCUUUGUGUAUGAGUUGCUGCAACUCACAAGAAAUUUAAAGUUAAUACUGAUGUAAAAUUUUGUCAUUCCACCAUCUCCAAUAAAAGGUCAUUCAAUUUUCUACUUGCUUGUUCUUCCUUCCGGUUCAUUAUGAAUUCUUAGGUAUACAACCAUGAAACACAUGUCGGUCUAUAGAAUAAAAAAUCUCAUGUAUGUUGAUAGAAUUUCAAUAUUUUCAUCUUGAGAUAUCAUUACUUUCGGUAAUUGAAUUGCUUACGAAUAGAGACAGAAGCAUCAACUUCUGUGGAUCAAUUGUGACAGAUUGUGAUUACAUUGAAAAGUGAACAUGUUGGUGGAGCUUUCCUAAAAGUAAUAGAUUUAAGCUUCCCCCUACAAUUUCAUGAUGUUAGAUUUGUCUACUAACUGAUGCAUUGUGUUGGUAUGUAAUAGGUGUUUAUGAAGUGUUGCUGGAAAUGAACAAUGGUUGUUAAAGAAAGACUUAAAAGCCUAGAUUGUACCUUGGAGUAAAGACUACUUAGGCGCAUUUUGCAGUUCCAAGUGCAAUGAACGGAGCCGUAAGCGAAAAUGAGAUAUGGAAAUUAGGUCGUUCCGCAAUGCUGUGUGAUUUUGUACGACAUGGAAAGAUUGUACAAGAAAGAGGGAGG